ensembl:snRNA U6 U6 spliceosomal RNA
GUGCUCAGUCAGGCAGCACAUACACUAAAAUUGGAAUGACAUAUGGAGAAAAUUAGCAUGGCUCCUACACGAGGCUGACAUGCACAUUCACAAAACAGUCCAUAUUUAA